CCUACGGGAGGCAGCAGUGGGGAAUAUUGCACAAUGGGGGAAACCCUGAUGCAGCGACGCCGCGUGAGUGAAGAAGUAUUUCGGUACGUAAAGCUCUAUCAGCAGGGAAGAAAAUGACGGUACCUGACUAAGAAGCCCCGGCUAACUACGUGCCAGCAGCCGCGGUAAUACGUAGGGGGCAAGCGUUAUCCGGAUUUACUGGGUUUAAAGGGAGCGUAGACGGCAGCGCAAGUCUGGAGUGAAAUCCCAUGGCUUAACCAUGGAACUGCUUUGGAAACUGUGCAGCUAGAGUGCAGGAGAGGUAAGCGGAAUUCCUAGUGUAGCGGUGAAAUGCGUAGAUAUUAGGAGGAACACCAGUGGCGAAGGCGGCUUACUGGACUGUAACUGACGUUGAGGCUCGAAAGCGUGGGGAGCAAACAGGAUUAGAUACCCCUGUAGUC
rnacentral:rRNA from 1 species